rnacentral:rRNA from 1 species
UGCCAGCCGCCGCGGUAAUACCGGGGGGGCAACCGUCGUUCGGAAUUAUUGGGCGUAAAGGGCGCGUAGGCGGCCCAACAAGUCAGCUGUGAAAGCCCUCGGCUUAACCGAGGAAUUGCAAUUGAUACUGUUGCGCUUGAGUCCCGGAGAGGAUAGCUGAAUUCCCAGUGUAGCGGUGAAAUGCGUAGAUAUUGGGAGGAACACCAGUGGCGAAGGCGGCUAUCUGGACAAAGACUGACGCUCAUGUGCGAAAGUGUGGGUAGCGAACAGGAUUAGAUA